GGAAGCCCGAUGCGGGACUUGAUCCCAGGACCCUGGGAUCAUGACCUGAGCUGAAGGCAGACGCUUAACCAUCUGAGCCACCCAGGCGCCCUUCACUUGAUUUCUUCACACAACAUUUUAUUAUAAAAAUUUUCAGAAAUGUUGAAUGAAAGCCCACCCCCUAAUUCAUUCCACAAUUAACUUUUUCUACAUUUGCUUUAUGAUCUGUCCAUCCAUCAGUCUGUCUUACUGUUUUUGUGCAGCACAAAGUAAGCCAUGCUUCAGUGGAUGUUGAAUCCUGGGGACUCCACUCUGCCCAAUGACUGUUUGGCCUCUGUUUAAAUUCCCCUGGAGAUGGGAAACUCACUACCUGUUACAAUUCCCCGUUACAACUAUUCUGGCUGUCACCAAGCCCCCUUCUGUGCCCGGGUCCCAAUGGCAGGCCCUCCCAGGUGUGACUAUUCAAAUGAAAGGCACUGAGAACAGAGAGUCAGAACUCCCUGGAGUUGUUAGAACCCGGAGGCUGGGCACUCCUUCAGGGCUUCCCGUUCAGGAGGUGGCUGGCAGGGUCCGUGCGUGUGCAUUUCUAGCAAGCUCCCAAGUAUGCCUGACACAGCUCGCCUAGGCCCCCACUUUGAGAAUUGCUGGUCUAAGCUUACACAGCCACUUGGGGGUACAGUUAAUCCUAAAAUAACUGUGUAGAAAGUCUUGGGUGUCCCUUUAGGGAAAGUCUUGGGUCUGGAAACAUGCUUCUGGUCUGAGGGUGCCCCAGUCUUUACCCCAAGGGAGGCCACCCCACCCCUCUCCUGGUGGCCCCAAAUACAGCUGGUUGCAGGGGGUUGGGCAGGCGCCUUCCCUGUGGCAACUUGCUCCUGUCCUGUGUGUGGUCCCCCAGGGAAGGUUGUGUGUCUGCAGCUGCUGGCUCAGGUCCUCCUAGUGGCUUCCCUGGCUCUCCUCUCUACCUCGGUGUCCAUUGACUCCACUGACUGUCUGAGAUGGGGUCUGGCCGUGUCCCCAGGGAGAGGCAUCAUCAUUCGACCUGAAUGAACCGGUGCACCCGAUGAACUUACUUUGCUUUUAUUUAUUUCCUCUCUGCCCAAAGCUAAAAUGUUCUGUAAAAAAAACAAGUGUGUAUCUCUAAGACUGCCUUUGCCUCUGUCUGCAGACUGGGGAUGCUGUCUUUCACAGUACACUUUUGCAAAUUUAGUUAUUUAAGAAGGAGUAAACUUGCGUUAAUUGUCAAUGGCUUAUUAGUACCCACCUAGAUGGCCAGGCUGGGGAUAGGUGUGAAUUUCAUUAAUUUCCCCAUGCUUUUGGGGUUUGGUUUGAACUCAAAAGCCCUUCUUGAGCGAACUCUUGUGAAAGCUUUAAUUAACUCUUGCCAGUGUCAAUAUGUUUUAUUACCUUCUGCAGCCUGCAGCCUUCCCCCGUGACUAAUUUACUCGGAUGUUUGGGGCCGAGGUAAUGAAGGCAGGAGCUCUGUGCAGACGCUGGAGUGGAUUAAAUCACGUUAUGGGCUCCAGCUGGAGGGCAGUGCUUCUCCAUCAGAGGUGAUAAUAGAGGGUUGUUCUUCUCUGGGUGGGGGUGUGCACCCUAGCAGACUAGGGUGGGUGGGUAAUGCUUCCAUGAGGCCAGAGAAAAGUCCUGGAGACAGUAAUUGAGACAUAGGUCUAGUGGGGGAGCUUACAUACAGAGAGCCCGGGAGUGGACAGCUGGACAAAGCACCUAUAUACAGCCAGCUUGUAUAGUACAGCAACUGAGCCUAGUGACUCUCUGCAGCCCCUCCCUCCUUACAGGGCCAGCCCUCCAAGGAGAUCCAAGCCUGACGCCUGGACACUCUUCGUUACAAGGGAGACACUCCGGGUUGGCCAUCCUUGGGAGCCCGUAACCUUGAAUGCUGAAAAAAACCAUUUUUCUGCACAUUCUGCUUGAUGGGAAUAUAGAAGGAGGACAGGACCUCUAUGUUCUCAAGAUAGUGAUUAACAUGCGCAUUCAGGGUGUGUUCGCACCAAAUAGUGAUCCAGCAUGUUCCAUACAGGAGGGGCCCCUGAAGUUUUAAUCAGUUUUGCUGCAUCAGAAAUGUGAGGGUCUGAGCUUGGACAUAUGACCUUGGUGGUGGCCUUUGAGAGCACAGAUGUGGUGUCCAGGACUUGAGUUCAGGUCCCAACCACCACUUGGAAGCUGGGUGCAGCAUAAGUCACCCCUUCUUCAGGAUGGCCCCUUUCCUCCAUUUGAAAGUGUGGGCAGGAAUCUUGCCCCUCAGAAGACCAGGUGUGGGGGGCAUCUUUGUGGCCACAGUGGAUGUGGAGCAGCUGACUUCCAUUGGUUUGGUGGACUGGAGUUUGUGCAGGCCUGGCCUCUGGGGUAGGAGCGGGGAGCCCUACCCAGGACCCUGGGAUCAUGACCUGAGCCAAAGGCAGACGCUUAACCAACUGAGCUACCCAGGUGCCCGCAGACCACGUUUUGUUUGUUCAUUUACUUGUUGAUGUAUGAAGACAUUUUUUCCAGGUUUUGCUGUCAUGAAAAAUGCUACUAUAGAUGUACUUGUAUAAUUUGUUCAUUAUGUGGGCUUAUGUUUUCAUUUCCCUUGGAGGGAGCAUUGUUGAAUCAUUGUGUAGGUAUAUGUUUAGAUUCAUAAAAAACUGCCAGACCGUUUUCCAAAGUGGCUGUACCAUUGUUCACUCCUAAGAAGGGUGCAUGGGUUCCUGGUGCUCCACAUCCUUGCUAGCACUUGAUACUGUCAUUCUUUUUAAUUUUAGCCAUCUUGGUGGGUGCAGAACAGCAUCUCACUGUGGUUAUAAUUUGCAUUUUUCUGAUAACUAAUGGUGUUGAGCAUCUUUCCAUAUACUUAUUAUUCCAUGCAUCUUACUUUGUGAAGCAUUUGUUCAUGUUUUUUGCUCAUUUUAAAAUUGGAUUGUCUUUUUAUUAUUGAUUUGUAUUUCUUUAUAUAUUCUGGAUAUAAAUCAUUUAUCACAUAUGCAUAGUACAUAGUUUCUCCUAGUCUGUGGCUUGUCUUUUCAUUAUCUAAAUGCUGUCUUCAUAAGCUAAAAUUUUUAAUUUUGAUGAGCGCAUUCUACUUUUGUGAUUAAGGUGUAAUUAGACUCUUGGAGCUGGGAUUGUAACUUUAGGAUUUUCAAUUAUUCUCAUCACUAGUGUGCGCAUGUGCACACACACACACACACACAGUCCUCACCCCAAGUAACCUGUGUUGGCAGCUUCCUAUGCAUCUUCCCGUGCUCCUACAAACAUAUACAUAUGCAUGAGAUUUUUUUUUUUUACUUAAAUGGGAGCACACUAUGGACCCAGGAAACUAUUUUCAUUUAACAGUACAACAGUACCAAGAGGUACAUGAAAAGACCUGUCAGAAUGGCUAUUAUAAAAAGGACAAGAUAUAACAAGUGUUGGCGAGGAUGUGGAGAAAAGGGGACCCCCAUGCACUGUUGGUGGGACUGUAAAUUGGUGUGCCACUGUUGAGGUUCCUCAAAAGAUUAAAAAUAGAACUACCAUAUGACCCCGUAAUUCCACUUCUGGGUACUUACCUGAAGAAAAUGAAAACACUAACUCAAAGAGCUAUCGGUCCUCCCAUGCUCACUGUAGCAUUAUUCACAAUAGCCAAGACAUGGGAGCAACCGAAGUGUGCAUUGAUAGAUGAGUGGAUAAAGAAGAUAUGGCAUAGAUAUACAAUGGAAUAUUACUCAGCCACGAAGAAGGAAAUCUUGCCAUUGGCAACAACACAGAUGGACCCUAAUGCUAAGUGAAAUAAGGCCGAGAAACAAAUGCUGUCUGAUUUCACUUAUAUGUAAAAUCUAAAAGGAAAAAGAAAGGAAAACCAAGCUCAUAGAUGCAGAGAACAGAUUGGUGGUUGCCAGAGGUGAGGGAUGGGUGAGAGAAAUGGGUAAAAGGGGUCAAAAAUUAAAAAAAGAAAGGCUAAGGCUAGCACAGGUAUCACAGAACUGAAAGGGUUGCUGGGGGCCCAAAUGUUUGGUAGAUUUCUCCACCAGAUAAUGCACUUUGUUUUAUUUUUCCCUAUUUUGAUGAAGAUUUUGCCAUUUUUUUUACACUGUGCCAGGAAAAACCGAAUUAUGACUUACAAUUUAUGAUUUCGGAAACCGAUUUCACAUGCAGUGCUAAAAUUCAUUUAUUGUGAAAUUUGACAUGCACCCUGAAGCACAUCUAAAACAUGUGCACUGCAUGAAGCGUGAAACCACAGUCAGCACUUACGCAACCAAGACUGACUGAGAAUGGCUGAGAAUGGACGCGGCCAGGACCCCGGUGGGCCUCUGCAUGUCGGAUCCGCUCCAGGGAUGGCCCCUAUGCAAAAACAUCAAAAACAAAAACACUUUUUUUUUCUCAGACCAUUUUGUUAUGUCAUUUUAAAUUAUAUUCAAAACUGUGCCUCUUUAGAAAUAUUUAUAUUACAACACACAUAGGAAAUGGAAAUUAAGGACAAAAAAAAGUGCUGCAACAAAGACAAAACUGUACGUGAGUUGAUCCACGGAGGCCAUAGGAAGAGAUCUGAACCAUUCUCUUUGGUUGCUACUUAAUUAAUAUUCCAGAGAAUGAAUAUGCCACUGCUGAUUUAACCACUUCUCUUUUUAAUGAGUUUCGAUUCUGUCUUCCGCUGGACCUUCGGGUUGUUUCAGCAUCUGGCUGCCUCAAACAACGCUCGAAACAAGCACACAAGCAAGCCAAUGAACACGCCGAGGGUACAGCUCUGCAAAGCCUGUUGCUGUUUCCUGUGGGAUAAAUUCCAACAGUGAGAUCGUUGGGUCAUGGAGUGCGUGUAUUUUGAAACUUAACAGCAACUGCAGAUUUCUUUCCCAAAAAGCUGUAGGAAUUCACAAGCUGCAGAGCCUCUUCGGGAACGUGGGGGUUGGUGUGACCCAGCACCUGCCUCGUGUUGAUGCACUGGGGCCACAUAGCUGUCUGCUGAGAGCCAUCAUGUCCAGGGCCUGGCAGCCUGCGCACGGAGGACUGGCUCCCACACACAAGGAAGAAACAGACCACAACGCAGGGAGGCGAGCAGGGAGUCCACUCUCCCAAGGAUCUGAAGCUCUCCUGUUGGGCUGGCUGGAAGCAAAGUUCACUGGCAAAAAAUGGGUUUUGCGGUGAAGCCAAGCAUGCUUCGUCCAUUCCUUGGCCGUCUGCUCUACCACUGUUUACUGAGCACCUACCGAGUGCUCCAAAAAGCGAUGGGCAUCUGUGGGCCUAGAGUCUCACAGGAGGCAUGGGUGAAACCCAGGCCUGCCACCUACUCAGGAUGUGCUUCAACCUCAGUUUCCUUGUCUGUAAAGCCAGCCCCUAUGUCGUAACAAUGUAGGAGGCCAUUGAGAUCCUAUCAGUAACUCCUCUAGGGCUUAUCUGUGCAAGGGUCUGUUCUCAAGGAACCCACAGGACCUGGGGGUGGCUGACCUGCAGGUGGAUGAGAAUGUGCCAGAAGCUCCCUGCCCUCAGAGCAGCCAGAAUGCGGUUUCUGAUAGCUGGACUCCCUGGGAAUGCCUUCCUUCCGAGGGACCAACUUGUUUUAACAGGCAAGAGCUUCUCUACAUCAGAGGAGUUACUGACUGAAAGGAGGGGGCUUUUAGAGCUCAGAGUUCACGUAAAUGUUCCCAGAUUUAGAGCGAAGAUGUUCCUGUAUCAAUUUGAGAUGGCAACGGGGCCAUCCCCCGUUGGACAUCCCAGACUCCAUGUUACACCUGUGAGAACCAACUGUGCAGGGGAGGCUGCCUCUGCCACAGUCGUGGAGGUGGGUGGGAGGGGGCUGAUCUGGCUCCUUGAAUCAGGGCUGCUCAGAAGUAGGACUACUGAGGACAAACAUUCACUGGCUUGGAGAAGGAUAAGACAAAUAGAUCAACGCAACAGAAUAGAGACCCCAGAAAUGGACCCUCAUAAAUAUAGUCAGCGGGUCUUUGACAAAGGGGCAAAGGCAAUGCAAUGAGGCAAAGACAGUCUCUUUAGCAACCAGUGUUGGAAUAACGGAACAUCAAUAUGCAAAUAAAUAAAUCUAGACACAGACCUUAUGCCCUUCACAAAAGUUAACUGAAAAUGGAUCACAGACCCAAAUAUAAAAUAAAAACUAUAAAAAUCCUAGAAGUUACCAUAGAAAACCCAGAUGACCUUGGGUGUGGUGAUGACUUCCUAGAUACAACACCAAAGACAUGAUCCAUGAAAGAAAGAAUUGAUAAGGUAGAUUUCAUUAAAAUUAGAAAAUUCUGCUCUGUGGAAGACCCCAUCAAGAGAAUGAGAAGAGAAGCCACAGACUAGGAGAAAAUAUUUGCAAACAACACAUCUGAUAUAAGAUGUUAUCCCAAAUAUUCAAAGAGCUCUUCCAACUCAAGACAACAAAUAGCCCAAUUAAAAAAUGGGCCAACAGAUACCUCACUGAAGAAGAUGUACUGAUGCCAAACAAGCAUAUGAAAAAAUGCACCACAUUAUACUCAUCAAGGAAAUGCAAAUGAAAACAACAAUGGGAUGCUACUACUCUCCUAUUAGAAUGGUCAAAACCCAAUAGACAGACAGCACCAAGUGCUGGUGAGGACAUGGAGCAACAGGAACUCUCACUCACUGCUGGUGGGAAUGCAAAAUGCUGCAGCCACCUUGGAAGACAGUUUGGCAGUUUCUUACAAAACUAGAAAUAUUUCUACCAUAUGAUCAGUUGUGCUUCUUGGUAUUUACCCAAAGAAGUGAAAAACUGAUGUCUGCACAAAAACUUGCAUGUGGAUGUUUAGAGCAACUUUAUUCAUCAUUGUCAAAACUUAGAAGGAGCCAGGAUGUCCUUCAGUAGGUGAAUGGAUAAGUAAACUGUGGUGCGUUCAGACGAUGGAAUAUUAUUCAGCAAUAAAAAGAAAUGAGCUAUCAAGCCAUGAAAAGACAUGGAGGAAGCUCAGAUGCAUAUUAUUCAGUGAAAGAAAUCAAUCUGAAAGGCUACAUGCUGUGUGACUCCACCUAUAUGACAUUCUGGGAAAGGCAAAACUAUAGAGACGGAGCCCUAAAAAGAAGAAAGGCAUCCUGUGAUGUCUGUGUCCACUAGCAAGUGACAGCCACAAGAUAACAACGAAGCCUCAAGAACAAGGGCCAUGGGACAGUGUUGGGUCCUGCCACCCAGAGCUCGCCAACAGUGAUUGAAGUUGAUUAAAAAUGAAGAACAAGCAAAGCAUUAGCCCAUCUCGUGUCCUCUCCGUCCCUGGAAGGAUUCUCCUGUAUCCUUGGAUUUAAGAUCCUUACUGUGACAUAUUUAAAAAGCAAGCUAGAUAAUGGAGACAGGUGACUUUAUGGAUAGAAUUAUUUGGUAAGUGUCUUAGUCCCUUUGAUUCCUGGCUACCUUAUUUAUAAAAUAGAAUAAUAUAUUCUUUGCAGAGUUGUUGAUUGGGGUUUAAUAGAUGAUAGAUAUAAAUCACCUGGAACAAUAAAUACUAACUCACUUUAAAAAAAAAAAAAAAAAGCAAGCUAAAGAUUUAUAUAUGAAUUCCCACUGGAUCCCACUGGCUUCCAGAGUCGAUUCGACACCUUUUCCCUCCCACCUGUGCAGAGGCAGUAAGUUCACUUCCCUAACCUCAGCGGUCUUGUUUGGACGAAGGAGCCCUGGCCAGAUGCUGGCCCUGCAGAACUUUUAAAAAAAUUAACCAAAUAGAGUUUUUAAAAAAUUAAGGCAAAAUUCAUACAACACAAAAUUCACCAUGUUAACUGUUUUCAAGUGUACCAUCUCGUGGCUUUUAGUACAUUUACAAUAUUCUGCAAACAUCACCACUAUCUAAAUUUGGAGCAUUUUCACCAGAAAACAAACUCCGUAUCCAUUAAGCAUCACUCUCUGGAUGGAUAUGGAUCUGCUUCUUCUGGACAUUUCAUAUACAUGGAAUCAUACUGUUAUAGGAUCGCAGGGUUCUUGUCUCACGGAGUCGAAGGAUGAAU